UAAAUUAUCCGUGUAAUUAAUUCAGUAUAGGUGUGAUAUUAUAUUUUGAAGAUGUUGUUAUCCAAUAUUGAAAUGUUUUAAGUUAGUAUUUAUCUGUUCUCUAGGAAACCAUCAGGAAAUGAGAAGUGAAAUCUUCGAAUUGUCGGUGCGAUGUACAAACGUUCUCCGUUGUGGGCGGAAAGAUUCUAAACCUGUACAAACACCGAAAAAGACUACCUCAGUCAUCGCAUGUUGCUUACAGUGUUUACACUUUUACCCUCCAUGCAUAUCCAUAUCUUUUAACAGGAAGACGUACAAAUGCACACAGUUUACUUACUUGGGGUUGCCCAACAAGGUCAAAAACGACGAAAUGAUAUAUUAUUCCAUUAAACCAUACUUUACUGACUGCAGCCAAAUUCCAAAGGGACUGCCGCGAUCAAAAUCUGGCAUUUAUGCCUUGACAACUGGAAAAGAAACGUUUCUUGCGAUGUGCGAAAUAGAUGAUAACGAGGGUUGGACCGUGUUGCAGAGACGACAAAAUAGCACCUUUAAUUUUAACAGAACAUGGGCUGAAUACCAACGGGGAUUCGGUCAUUUACGUAGAGACUUUUAGUUCGGGCUCGACUUUAUGCACAAGCUCACGUCCGGCGGGCAUUUCCAUCUACGCAUAAAAGUCAAGACCAAAUCAGGAAAUGUUUUCUCAUCCACUUAUGCUUCAUUUCGCAUUCUAUAAGAGAGUAAAAGUUAUAUGUUGAGGAUUGGAAAGAUCAUAAAUGACGAUGGUGGUCCAGUAAUCUAUGAAGAAAAAGGGGUAAAAUUCUCAACCUACGACAUGAACAAUCGCAACUGCGUUUUAGAAGGUGGUGGCGGGUGGUGGUUUGACACAUGUUCGUAUUCAUGCUUUUUAAAUGGUUUAUAUAGUUCGAGUUUCAAGUGUAAUAUUAAUGAAAAAAUGCAACAGUUGAGUAGCUCAGUAAGGAUGAUAAAGCGUGUGUAAAAGUAAAUUCAGCUAUUUGGAAAAACUUUGUCAACAUAUAAUAUUGUAUGUAUAAAUAUUUUAAUACCACCAAAUGUAUAAAGAAUGGUCGACCCAGGCGGGUGGUGGUAAAGUCGACCCCGGAGGAAAAAUGUUUUUCCUCCGGGGUCUGAC